GGCCCCAUCGUUUAGCGGCCUAGGACACUGCCCUCUCACGGCAGCGGCGCGGGUUCGAAUCCCGCUGGGGUCAC
rnacentral:tRNA from 2 species